CUGUCUCCGGAACCGGCCUCCUGCGAGUCCUAAUUUCAUCCUGAAGGCAGCGUCGGCUUCUGUCUGAAAGUCACAGAUGGGUACAAAGGGUAGCCGAUUUUCUCCCAUCAGCUCACACGUGGGAGUUUGCGCCAAGCUCAAGAGACAGUAGUGCUACUCCAGAAGAAAUAAAUAUCAAACGGCCUGCCGUUGAGUUCCAGUCCCACACCUUGGGGCCGGAGGCUCCUCCUGGCCGAGGGAGUAAUUUUUUAGUGAUAACAGGGAUGGGCGGAAGUAUCGUUAAGUCUUCAGUGACAAAUUGCACCGUAUUAUUAGUCUUGCUGAACUUUUCACUGUGCGCUUCACGUGGUGACAAAUGCAUUUCCUAGACUCAGCUUUUGGCCAGAGAGCAGUGAAGUCACAGGAUUAAGCCCAAAAGUCCGAAUCCCUGUCGUUUCCAGUUCUCCCUCUUUCUUUUGCUUUUCUGCAGCCUCAGGGAGUUAAUACUUGGCUGAAGGUUACUGAAAGCUGCUUUCAUCAGCUGCUCUUGUGAAGGAAGAAGGCCUUUCAUGAGCAGAAUAUUACAGGGGAGAGGGAUUCUCUUCAAAUUAAAAUUUUCUGAUGUAUUUGAUAAUCUUUGGUCAGCUUUACAUUUUGACACAUAUUUACUGUUUCUUUACCUCCCUUUUAAAGCAAUAGAUGAGAUAAUAAAUUAUCAGUAUAAAAUUACUCUGAAACUUAGCACAAGCUAGGGCUUUAAGGGAAAUUUGGCCAAUAAAGGUUGACUUAAGAGGAAACACGUUACCUGACAAUAAUAUGGUUUUGAAUUUAUGUAGUACCUACUAUGAUCAGUACAUUCAGACUACUCCUGAUUCUAACAAAUAUGUUUAAGUGUGCAAUUUGGGGAGUUAACUGUCUCAUAAUUUAGUAUUUUAAUCAUAUAAGCUUAAUAGUGAAAUAAUUUUCUCUAGAAAUUCUCCCUUGUUAACUACUCUGUAUUUAACAUUCAUUAUCUACUAGGUAGAGCUCUUAUAAUUGUACUCCUGACUUUACCUCAUGUUCUCAAAUUCUUAGGCCAGCAUUUCCAGCUUUUCUGUUUUAAUGGGAUAACUGACAUGUCCUGUAGUGGAAUUUAUUACUGUUCCUUGCAGUGAAGGAGCACACACACCAGAGAACCAUGGGGUGUCUUCUAUUUCUUUAGGUACACUAUUCAUUAUUGCUGUCAAAACCAAGGUCUUCUACAGCUAUGCAGCCUCAAGGAAACAUUCUUGGGCUUUCCUUCUCUCAGGAAGUUAAACGAGCUAGUAAUAACCAGGGUUCCCAUGGAAAAAAGAGAAACUUUUUAAAAAUCUCAAUAGAAAAAUAUUAAUAAAGGUUAUACCAAUCUAGCUUUCAGCUAAUUUUCAACAAUCCUUCUCACUUCACAAGAGUGAAGUCAUUUUUCUUACCUGUCAUGAUUGUUUAUAGAGAAUCUAUCUCAACACAUCAGAACAUUCAAAUGUGGCUUACUGAAGUAUAUAUCUUAAAGACAAAAGUGCUCACAGGAAAGGGGAGUUUGCAGAAGUAGCCAAGUCUUAAGCUCGAACUUCCAGUUCGUAGGAAACACUGACUUGACUUGAAGGACAAGUUAAAUGGCAUCGUAACCUCAAAUGAAAACUCAAUGCAAUGUCACAAAAAAAAGGAACAGCAAUUGCAGGGCUGUUUGGGAUUACGGGAGAUUUAAACAAUAUGACCACUGAAAUUCCAUGUGUGAUCCUGAAUCGGAUCCUGGUUUGAAGAAACCAAUUAAGACAUUUAAGGAAGAAUUGGGGAAAUUUGAAUUGGUAUUUGAAGAUAUUAGGGAAUUGUGAAUUUUGUUAGGUGUGAGGAUAGUAAAUGAUUAAGUAAAAUAAUAUUUUUUAAAGCUGCCAAGUAUGGAAAGGCAGUGUAAUAUUUGUAAUUUAUUUCUUAACACCAAGUAAGUUACUGAAACCGGGUAAUGUGUGGAUGUUGGUGUCAGUUACCCAUUUAUUGCCUCUCAGCAACAAAUUCACCCUUCAUCGCCACACUUUCUGGUAUUAGAGAUGGGCCUAUAAACUUUCUCGUUUUCUAGUGGGUACUGUGCUAAGCUUUGUCAGUAGGGUACUGGAAGGACAGACAGUACAGGAGGAAGCGGCUUUUGUUUAUAAUGUGCUUCUAUGGUAUAGCUGCCAGAGGUGCUCUUAGACACUGUGAUGGUCAAUUUUGUGUCACCUUGGCUGGGCCACAGGGUGCCUAGUCAACAUGACAUGAGAUGCUUCUGUGAAGCUAUUUCUGGAUAAUAACAUUCAAAUCAAUGAACUUUGAGUUAAACAGAAUGCUCUCCAUAAUGUGGAUGAACCUCAUCCAAUCAAGCCUGAAAAUUGGCAGGAAAGAGUAGUCUCCCCUGAGCUAGAGAAUUCUCCAGCAAACUGCGUUGGGUCGGAACUGCAGGAUUGGCUCUCCUGGCUCUCCAUCCUGGGGCUGCACACUUUGGACUUGACUGCUUCCAGAAUCAUGUGACACAGUUUUCAUAAUCUCUUUCUAUAUACACCAACAUCCUAUUUGCUCUGUUUCUCUGGAGAAUCCUGGCAAGUGCAGACACAAACUGAUGCUAUCCUCCAACAACUUUUGCUGACACCCUGGGGGGAGGCUUCUUGUUUACCAUUCCCUGCGUGUUUGAAGUCUCUAUUUGCAAGGGCUGAUCCACCACCAUCAGACCAGCUCUAAGUCCAGAGCAUCCCAGGGAACUUUCUUGUUACCAAGUGGGCCAAAGCCCCACCCUCUCCAAUAGGCCUGACUCUCCACUUGGGGGAAGGGAAGCCCCUCCCAGGAAUGUUCUUUCCUUGGGUAUUCUCUCAGUCCUAGUGUAUUAGACUUCUCUUUUAUCCCCUAAUAGCUAAUCCCAUUUUCAGUUAAAAAAUUUAUAUCAGAAUCAUCCCUAUAAUGCCUGGACCUUGACUAAUACAGUCAGUAUU